rnacentral:rRNA from 1 species
UAGAGUUUGAACAUGGCUCAGGACGAACGCUGGCGGCGUGCUUAACACAUGCAAGUCGAACGGAAAGGCCCUUCGGGGUACUCGAGUGGCGAACGGGUGAGUAACACGUGGGUGAUCUGCCCUGCACUUUGGGAUAAGCCUGGGAAACUGGGUCUAAUACCGGAUAGGACCACGCGCUUCAUGGUGUGUGGUGGAAAGCUUUUGCGGUGUGGGAUGGGCCCGCGGCCUAUCAGCUUGUUGGUGGGGUAAUGGCCUACCAAGGCGACGACGGGUAGCCGGCCUGAGAGGGUGACCGGCCACACUGGGACUGAGAUACGGCCCAGACUCCUACGGGAGGCAGCAGUGGGGAAUAUUGCACAAUGGGCGCAAGCCUGAUGCAGCGACGCCGCGUGAGGGAUGACGGCCUUCGGGUUGUAAACCUCUUUCAAUAGGGACGAAGCGCAAGUGACGGUACCUAUAGAAGAAGGACCGGCCAACUACGUGCCAGCAGCCGCGGUAAUACGUAGGGUCCGAGCGUUGUCCGGAAUUACUGGGCGUAAAGAGCUCGUAGGUGGUUUGUCGCGUUGUUCGUGAAAACUCACAGCUUAACUGUGGGCGUGCGGGCGAUACGGGCAGACUAGAGUACUGCAGGGGAGACUGGAAUUCCUGGUGUAGCGGUGGAAUGCGCAGAUAUCAGGAGGAACACCGGUGGCGAAGGCGGGUCUCUGGGCAGUAACUGACGCUGAGGAGCGAAAGCGUGGGGAGCGAACAGGAUUAGAUACCCUGGUAGUCCACGCCGUAAACGGUGGGUACUAGGUGUGGGUUUCCUUCCUUGGGAUCCGUGCCGUAGCUAACGCAUUAAGUACCCCGCCUGGGGAGUACGGCCGCAAGGCUAAAACUCAAAGGAAUUGACGGGGGCCCGCACAAGCGGCGGAGCAUGUGGAUUAAUUCGAUGCAACGCGAAGAACCUUACCUGGGUUUGACAUGCACAGGACGCCAGUAGAGAUAUUGGUUCCCUUGUGGCCUGUGUGCAGGUGGUGCAUGGCUGUCGUCAGCUCGUGUCGUGAGAUGUUGGGUUAAGUCCCGCAACGAGCGCAACCCUUGUCUCAUGUUGCCAGCACGUUAUGGUGGGGACUCGUGAGAGACUGCCGGGGUCAACUCGGAGGAAGGUGGGGAUGACGUCAAGUCAUCAUGCCCCUUAUGUCCAGGGCUUCACACAUGCUACAAUGGCCGGUACAAAGGGCUGCGAUGCCGUGAGGUGGAGCGAAUCCUUUCAAAGCCGGUCUCAGUUCGGAUCGGGGUCUGCAACUCGACCCCGUGAAGUCGGAGUCGCUAGUAAUCGCAGAUCAGCAACGCUGCGGUGAAUACGUUCCCGGGCCUUGUACACACCGCCCGUCACGUCAUGAAAGUCGGUAACACCCGAAGCCGGUGGCCUAACCCUUGUGGAGGGAGCCGUCGAAGGUGGGAUCGGCGAUUGGGACGAAGUCGUAACAAGGUAGCCGUA